GGGGUUGUGGCUCAGUGGUAGAGCGCUUACCUAUCAUGUAUGAAGCACUGAGUUCCAUCCUCAACACCACA
rnacentral:tRNA from 1 species